rnacentral:rRNA from 1 species
CGUAGGGUCCGAGCGUUGUCCGGAUUCAUUGGGCGUAAAGAGCUCGUAGGCGGUUUCGUAAGUCGGAUGUGAAAACUCAGGGCUCAACCCGGAGACGCCAUCCGAUACUGCGAUGACUGGAGUCUGGUAGGGGAACACGGAAUACCUGGUGUAGCGGUGAAAUGCGCAAAUAUCAGGUGGAACACCGAUGGCGAAGGCAGUGUUCUGGGCCAGUACUGACGCUGAGGAGCGAAAGCGUGGGGAGCAAACAGGAUUAGAUACCCUGGUAGUCCACGCCGUAAACGUUGGGCACUAGGUGUGGGUCCUCAUCAACGGGAUCCGUGCCGUAGCUAACGCAUUAAGUGCCCCGCCUGGGGAGUACGGCCGCAAGGCUA